GGGCCAUGCUCCUGGGUAGACCUUGUACAAGAUGCCACCUCGGGCGCUGUGUGUUUUUCCUCAUUGUGGCUCUUUUGAGCGACGCCGUGGGCCUGGUUCUUUUGCUGCUGGGGAUCUUUGCUACACUAAACUACUGGGACUUCUUUGUCUACACAGGAUCUCUGAUCCUGGCUCUGAGCCUACUGUUCUGGCUCGCCUGGUAUUCCUUCAAUGUCGAGGUACCUCUUGAAAAGCUGGACUUUUAGCAUGGCCAUGGACAAGAGGGAUGCAGGUGGCAUAUGCAGAUGUGAAUCCAAGGACCCUGGACAUGAAGCCCCCACACAGAAUGCCCCACUAAGACCAGGUCUCACUCAUUGCUUCCAAGUCAGAACAAAGCCUUCAAAGCUCCAUUUUAUAGAUGGAAGAAAUCUGAGUCUCAGAUCUGUUCAAAGUACUCCAAGGGAAAUUGCAUGGGUCUGUCUGGCACAGAAGAAUCAAAUCAAGGUGUCUGGUCUUUGCAGCAUACCCUCUGAUAGUAUCCAAGAAGACCCAGAUGCUGCGAUGAUGACGCUUUCGUAUCACCCACUGGGAUAGCCACAAAUGACUGUGAAUACCAGGGCUCUGUCUGGAGCCCAAGCUCCCCGUGCCAAACCACUGAUGCUGCUACACCACUCCAGAAGUUUGUGGAGGACCAAGAAGUCAUGAAGUUCCACCAGUGGGGCUUUUACAGGAACCACUCUAUUACAGGUUUAGAUAACAAAGAAACCUCCGGUCAAAGUCUUUUCAAAGAACUGCCAACUGAAAUUAAGCACAGACGACCCAAUUGGAGUCUCCCAUGAGCAUGCAUCACACAGUACUGUUGCCAUGUCCCUUAGACAUGAACUAGACUCCAAGACUCUGGUUCCUCUUCAUCACACCGCCCAGAGGAGACACAGAAGCUGAUUCUAACAUGGAGACCACAACAUGAAUGCACAGGCAGCAGUGUACACACAGGGACUCUCCUGACUGGGGAACAUGCUGGCAUUGUUCACACAGGCCCACCUAGGUGCAGAGGGAAGCCAUGGGGGCUGCUGACAGUGUGCUCCAGGUCACGUGAAACCUCCAGGCACUUUUUCUGAUAAGCAAAGUAGGACUCUGCUGUGUUGUCUGUGUGUUGUUCAUGACUUAAAGGAUAAAACUACAUUUCUAGUCUAAAUUACAUGUCGUCUUCUACAGCCUGAUCCCAGGAUCUACUAAAGACCACCUUUCCAGGGACAAUCACAAAGAUGUCAUUCAAGUUGACCUGUGCCACUAAUUUAUAUUCCCCAUGGUCUGAUUUUGUACUCGGUAUUUAUAUUAUGCACUAAAUCUGCAUGUUUCCUUU